rnacentral:rRNA from 1 species
UACGUAGGGCGCAAGCGUUGUCCGGAAUUAUUGGGCGUAAAGAGCUCGUAGGCGGUUUGUCGCGUCUGGUGUGAAAAACCUCAGGCUCAACCUGGGGCGUGCAUCGGGUACGGGCAGACUAGAGUGCGGUAGGGGAGACUGGAAUUCCUGGUGUAGCGGUGGAAUGCGCAGAUAUCAGGAGGAACACCGAUGGCGAAGGCAGGUCUCUGGGCCGCAACUGACGCUGAGGAGCGAAAGCAUGGGGAGC